AUCACACACUGCGCUCUGCUUUGCCUCCAGUGAGCGGAGAGGCGCAAAAGCCUCACCAAGCGCGCUCUUCUGUUUUCACUGAAUGGAAUAAGUUCUUUUUUUUUUUUCUUCUUCACAGGCAAUCCUCAGGUUGGGACGCGCAGCUUCACGGCGAAGAAAACAAAGGAUAAAAGAAGCUUGGUGGAAGAAGAAGAGAGAGCAGUAAGGGAUGGUGCGGGGGUUUCUCUUUGACCCUGUGUGAUGGACCCCAAGUGGAACCGCCUGGGAUCACAGGUGUAAAUCUCGACCUCUUUAUCAGAAUCUCUGUCCCUUGACAGACUUUUGUGGUCCUGCAGGGUCAAUGACAGAUGUGGAUAAUUGAGGGCUUUGUUUUAUGAAGUUAUAAUCGUCCGUCACAUCCCCCUCUGCCUCUACACUCCUGCUCCUCUUUUAUACUGCAUGUUUAUCCGCAUCAUGUUGAAUUGCACAUCCAACUCAAAGUGAUUUCAGGGAUGCACAGCAGUCAUCAUACUUGUAGUGCA